rnacentral:lncRNA from 1 species
AAAUUUUAUUUUGGCCAGGAGCUGAAGUUGGUUGUUUAGUAGUAGUAGUUUGAGUAGUGACCGAAGUAGUAGUCUGGUGCAAGAGUAGUUGGGGAAGAAUUAGGUGUGGUAAUUGGGGCAGCUGUGGUCUCUUGUGGAGCUGGGGAAGACGGUGGAGCUGGUGUAGUUGCAGAAGGUGUGGGUGGGGCAGCUGUGGUCUCUGGUGGAGCUGAGGAAGAUGGUGGAGCUGGUGUAGUUGCAGAAGGUGUGGGUGGGGCAGCUGUGGUGUCUUGUGGAGCUGGGGAAUUCACUGAUGGAAUUUGGGUUGUAGCCACUAAGGUAGGGUUGACCACACUGCUAUUUUUAUCUGGAUGUUUAGGUGGCUGGUGAGGAUUUGGGAAUUUGGGGGGGUUAUUAGGUGAAGGUG